CCGGGGACCACCACCGGACAAUGAUCACCGGGUACCACCACCAGACAAUGAUCACCGGGUACCACCGCCAGACAAUGAUCAUCGGGUACCACCACCAGAC